rnacentral:rRNA from 1 species
AUUGAACGCUGGCGGCAUGCUUUACACAUGCAAGUCGAACGGCAGCGCGGGCUUCGGCCUGGCGGCGAGUGGCGAACGGGUGAGUAAUGCAUCGGAACGCGCCCAGUAGUGGGGGAUAGCCCGGCGAAAGCCGGAUUAAUACCGCAUACGACCUGAGGGUGAAAGCGGGGGACCGAAAGGCCUCGCGCUAUUGGAGCGGCCGAUGUCGGAUUAGCUAGUUGGUGGGGUAAAGGCUUACUAAGGCGACGAUCCGUAGCUGGUCUGAGAGGACGACCAGCCACACUGGGACUGAGACACGGCCCAGACUCCUACGGGAGGCAGCAGUGGGGAAUUUUGGACAAUGGGGGCAACCCUGAUCCAGCCAUGCCGCGUGCGGGAAGAAGGCCUUCGGGUUGUAAACCGCUUUUGUUCGGGAAGAAAUCCUCUGGGCUAAUACCCCGGGGGGAUGACGGUACCGGAAGAAUAAGCACCGGCUAACUACGUG